UUUCUUUUCUUGGGUGGUGCUGUGUGGAGCCAGGAGUUGGACUCGAUGAUCGUUGUGGUCUCCUUCCAGCUCGGGAUAUCCUGUGAUGCUAUUUCUUUAUUGCUUGAGUGACUGAACCAGAAUAACUUGGAAAAGUUUUUGGAGGCCUUCGUUGCUUGUGAUUGGAAGCAAGAGAGUGCUGGAAAUACAACCACUAGUGAUGCCAGCUAUCAUGCCAUCGCCUUUUCAAGUGCCCCCAGCUGUGCGGGCGGAGGAAGCCCUGACUAUUUUUGGUGCGGAGUGAGUUGUGUGCGGGGUGAUGUGUUGCCAUCGCGCUGUGCCUUUCCCUCCAUCUGUGCCCCUCGGGGAGAAGAGCCACAGAAAGCUGUGUUCUGAAGUGUUGACUUCUAAAGACUGAAGCUGAACCAAGAAACCGAACAGUGAAUUUUGCAAAAGUUCUUCUAGCUGGGAGUAACCAUGAAAUGACGUGUCUUUGCUGCACAAACAAGGAGAUUUGAGCAAACUGAAGGAGACUCAGAGUCAGCCCUUUAGCACUUUUGGAGUAGAAAAAGCUUCCUGGGACAUCUCUUGGGAGUGCUGACUGUGAGAAAGGAGCAUGAAUCACUAGGAAG
ensembl:lncRNA